rnacentral:lncRNA from 1 species
UCUUCAGCUACCAGGGUGGGUAGGGGAGGACCAUCAGGUUGGGUCAGGGCUAGGCCUGUCUGAGUUCAGACUCUCCUUGAGGGGGUCUUGCUGUGGCUGAGUAUUUGGGGUGUCUCCUGGGUCCUACAGGAGCAGUCAGAUUCCUUCAGAGGGUCUGUGGGUCCUCUUGGGAUUGCUGGCUUGUUCUUGCAGUCAAUCUGGAGCUAAAAUUCACAAUGCAAGCCUCCGCACACUGUCUGUCCAUCUGAAUCAUCUAGUUCUGCCUCCCGUCUGGUCUGCCAUAAUGAUCUCUCUCCCUCUCCAUUGCUUUUAGAAAAUAGGAAACCAAAGUAGAUUACAGGGAAUCAAAUUUGAUACACUUAAUCUACUCAGGCUCAGAAAGGAGAGGUCACAAAUCCUAAACCAUUCUGAAAAUCAUCAGUAUUAGAAUGCAUUCAACACAUGGUUGCUGAGGACCUGCUUUGUACUGAGCACUGUUGUAGAGAUAAUACAGUGUUUAAACCAGACAAAAAUUCUAGCUUGUGGAGCUUGCAUUCCAGUGAAGACUUUUCCUUCUUGGCAGCAGUUCCAGAUGGGAUGGGUGGGGUGAUGGCAAGGAGAAAGAGAAUGAAGUUGUAGAUUGUGGAAAUUGCACCCUUGCUCUAUUUUGUGAUCAUGAAAUAAAAACAUAAGCAAUGUGAUGUCCAGGCCUUAUGACUCAUGCCUGUAAUCUCAACACUUUGGGAGGCCAAGAUGGAAGGAUUAUUUGAGUCCAGGCAUUCAAGACUAGCCUGGGCAACAUAAUGAGACCUCAUCUGUACAAAAUAUUUUUAAAAAUUAGCUGGCACGGUGGCAUGCACCUGUAAUCCCAGCUACUUGGGAGGCUGAGGUGGGAGGAUCUCUAGAGCCAGGGAGGUCAACAUUGCAGUGAGCCCUGACCACACCACUGCACUCCAGCCUGAGCCACAAAGCAAAAAUAAUAAAUAAUAAUGAACAAAAUAAUAAAAUAAUAAACAAAAUAAUGAAAUAAUAAACAAAAAAAAUCCAUAGCAAUGUGAACCAAAUAGAUUAUAAAGGAGGAUGAUAUCCAUUAAGUCUUCUUCAUUCUCAUGGCUCUUGUCCCUGUGUUUAUUUGCCUUAAGAAUGUAGCCAAAUCUUAUCUCCGUCUAGUGAAAAUCACUUGAUAGAAAGUUACAUUAAUGCACAAAUUCACAAAGAGAAUUUGCAUGAUUUUCAGAACCAAAUUAAUCCCUAAUUACUGGCAUACAGCUAUUUGAGCCAAAAGAUCAUAUUGCAUUUUAAACAAUAUAAACUCAUCCUUUAUCAGUCUUCAUUUGCAUAAGAAGCAUCUUAUUCUCAGUCAAACAGAGCAAAUCAAAUCCUGAAAGUUAUUUGUUCCAGCACAAGACUUUGAAUAUUCUGUUUCCUUUUCUACUCCUACAGUUAAUCUGCCAGAGCCAAGAUUAUUCCUUCACCCUUUUUUAGUCCCUGAACCUUUUGCAAAGCUAAUGAAAGUUAUAGGAUUUCUCAGAAAUAUGAGGGUACAGGAAAAUGUGCACUCAUACACAAACAUAUUUUGAAUGCCGCUUUUUAAAAAAUCAAGUCCAACCCCUAUGUGAUCAAAAUGAUAAAUUAAGGCUAUGGGAAGUUAAAAAGUAUGCUAAAGAUGGUUAAGAGACAUACUGAAAGUCAAACAGUCAACAGAGAAGUACAUGAAACCAAGUUCUCAAAAGUUUGUUUUGUUCUGCCAGUACCUGAGACCACUCUCAGAUAUAUAGGUCCCCAGCUCUGAAACACUUUGUCAAUAUUAAUAUAGAACAACAUUAUCUUUGUAACACAUUUGCACUCCGAUUCCUUUGUGAACAGAGUUAAUGUGUCCUCUGACCCACAGUGAUUUUAGGGUUGCCACUUGAGCUGAACAGGGCCUUCCCUCCCAUCUUCCAAUGCAGAAACUCUGGUUGGGCAUCCAGAGUAACUCAGCAACAUAACUGCCAUCACAAACAUGUGCAGAAAGAGUUCUGACCUGUUGUGUUGGAAGCCAGAGAAUGGAAUAGUUUUGUAGCUCUCCUUUGUGGCUUAUUCCUUACUCAACAGCCAUUCUGCUUUUGACCUGAAAAACUGGGCCAGGGAGAUUCUGUACCAUCAGGCAUAUUUCUUAUUGGGCUGUGUAAGUCUAGCAUAUGGCUAAUUACAAUUUACACCUCCUUAAGUGCUCUAACAAUCCACUAAAGACUGUUUUGUCUCUUUGGUUUACUGUUUGUAGCACUUUUUGCAGGCAAAGCAGUAAACAAUUCCUUUGGAGGUACUUUUUAAUUUCAAAUGAUGAUGGAAGAUGAUGGUCUUCUGUCUGGGUUGUUAAUGAUAUAUUCUCAGCCUGAUCUGUUAAAUGAUUGUGUUCCUAAUGAUAUGUCAUUUGCUUUCUACAGUGUCCUGGUGACCAGUUUUCUAUUUCUUCAUCUUCCAUGGUGGAGACAUGCCCAUUGAGGAUAAAAUAAAGAACUAAGGUAGGUGAAGGAAAAAUAAAGAAGAUGAGAUUUUAGGAACAAAAUAUCUAUGGCAUAAAAUGCACUAAUAGAAGUAAUAACUAAUAAAGAUAUUUGAAGUGAGUUGUUUCAUUUUUGUAUUCUUAUUUUUGUCGCUGACCUUUUUAGCUGUGUGUUUGAGAGACAAAAUUGUGCUCUGUUGCAAGAAGAUGGGUGUCUCUUAAAAUAACAUAGAAUGGA